GAUGAAGAACGUAGCGAAAUGCGAUAAGUAAUGUGAAUUGCAGAAUUCAGUGAAUCAUCGAAUCUUUGAACCCACAUUGCGCCCGCCAGCAUUCUGGCGGGCAUGCCUGUUCGAGCGUCAUUUCAACCCUCGAGCCCCCCCGGGGGCCUCGGUGUUGGGGGACGGCACACCAGCCGCCCCCGAAAUGCAGUGGCGACCCCGCCGCAGCCUCCCCUGCGUAGUAGCACACACCUCGCACCGGAGCGCGGAGGCGGUCACGCCGUAAAACGCCCAACUUUCUUAGAGUUGACCUCGGAUCAGGUAGGAAUACCCGCUGAACUUAAGCAUAUCAAUAAGCGGAGGA
rnacentral:misc_RNA from 1 species